GAAGCUACUUUGUGCGUAUUGUUAAUUAAGUUUUAACCUUUAAGCUGUAAUAGGGAGUUUUAUAUCGAAGCCGGAAUGUCAUGCCUCCAUUGCAGAGGACGACAGGAACGUUUCUGCAAACACCCACUUUGAGGAGUGGUGGUUUAAAACUUUCUUACUUGCAUACGGCAAGACGUAGCGAAAGCCAUUUCCUUUUCGGAAAU
rnacentral:other from 3 species